AACCCACUCACGUCCCCUUCCAUGCUAUGGAAGCUCUGUUCUUUUGCUCUUUGCAAUAAAUCUUGCUGCUGCUCACUCUUUGGGUCCACACUGCCUUUAUGAGCCAUAACACUCACCGCGAAGGUCUGCAACUUCUCUCCAGAGGCCAGCAAGACCACGAACCCACUGGGAGGAAUGAACAACUCCGGACGGGAGGAACGAACCACUCUGGACGCACCGCCUUAAGAGCUAUAACACUCACUGCGAAGGUCUGCAGCUUCAUUCCUGAAGCCAGCGAGACCACGAACCCACCAGAAGGAAGAAACUCUGAACACACCCAAACAUCAGAAGGAACAAACUCCGAACACAUCAGAAGGAACAAACUGCGGACAUGCCGCCUUUAAGAACUGUAACACUCACCACGAGAUUCUGCGGCUUCAUUCUUGAAGUCAGUGAGACCAAGAACCCACCAAUUCCGGAUACAUUUUGGUGACCCAGAUGGGACUAUUACCUAUCGCCAAGCGGUGAGACCACUGCCUAUCGCUGAGCGGUGAGACUAUCACCUAUCGCCAAGCAGUGAGUACCACUGGACCCCUUUCACUUGCUAUUCUGUCCUAUUUUUCCUUAGAAUUUGGGGGCUAAAUACCAGGCACCUGUCUGCCAGUUAAAAGUGACUAGCAUGGCCGCUGGACUAAAGACAUGGGUGUCAGGCUUUCUGGGAAAGGGCUCUCUAACAACUCCCGACUCUUUGGAGUUGGGAGCGUUGGUUUGCCUAGAACCAGCUUCUGCUUUUCCUGUACUUCUGGGCUGAGCCGAGGGUCGACAGAGAGGAAAGCCAUGCAGCUCUAGGGUCCCGACAAGACAACAAGUUCGUUGACCCUGCAGCCAUGAGCGGAACACUCAAAGGCAUGUCGCCCAAGCGAGACUCGCCCAUCUAUCCUAUCUAUCCUGACUCUUGCCCCCGGGUCCUAAUGCCUGCCAGACAAACUUCCUCUCACCUCUCUUCUCCGAGUUUAGUCCUGCUUCUAAAAUUUGCUGUCUCUGGUGCUUUUCUAGUUUCUCCUAUAAGAACGACUUCUAGAACUCUGUUACAUUCUUUAGGCACCCAGGCUCACCAAUCAGAAAGACAUAAUUUUUGCCCAAAGCCCUGUCAUAGUGGCGACUACCUGGAAUUUUACGAUCCCUCCUCAGACUAACAGGCCUAACAAAGGUAUUCCUGAAGCUAGGAUAUGGGGAGCCUCAGAAAUUGUAGCUUUCCUAUUCAUAUAAGUGAGGACAAAAGGUGUCACUCUUCCAACCCUGGAGAUCCCUUCCCUCCCUCAGGGUAUGGCCCUCCACUUCAUUUUUGGGGCAUAACAUCUUUAUAGGACAGGGGUAAAGUCCCAAUACUAACAGGAGAAUGCUUAGAACUCUAACAGGUUUUCAAGAAUGCGUCGGUAAGGGCCACUAAAUCCGACCUUCCUUGGUCCUCCAUGUGGUCUGAGAGGAAAACUAGUGUUUCUGCUGCUGCGUUGAUGAGCACAACUAUUCCGAUCAGCAGGGUACAGGGACUGUUGCAGUUUCUUGGGCAGGGGGAGAAACAAAACAAACCAAAACCGCGGGUGGUUUUGUCUUUCAGAUGGGAAACAUUCAGCCAUCAACAGGCUCACCCUUGAAAUGCAUCCUAAGCCGUUGGGACCAAUUUGACCCAUAAACCCUGAAAAAGAGGAGGCUCAUUUUUUUUCUGCACUAUGGCCUGGCCCCAGUAUUCUCUCUCUGAUGGGGAAAAAUGGCCACCUGAGGGAAGUACAAAUUACAAUACUAUCCUGCAGCUUGACCUUUUCUGUAAGAGGGAAGGCAAAUGGAGUGAAAUACCUUAUGUCCAAGCUUUCUUUUCAUGGAGGGAGAAUACACAACUAUGCAAAGCUUACAAUUUACAUCCCACAGGAGGACCUCUCAGCUUACCACCAUAUCCUAGCCUCCCUAUAGCUCCCAUUCCUAUUAAUGAUAAUCUUCCUCUAAUCUCCCCUGCCCAGAAGGAAAUAUGCAAAGAAAUCUCCAAAGGACCACAAAACCCUCCUGGCUAUUGGUUAUGUCCCCUUCAAGCUGUAGGGGGAGGGGAAUUUGGUCCCACCCGGGUACAUGUCCCCUUCUCCAUCUCUGAUUUAAAGCAGAUCAAGGCAGACCUGGGGAAGUUUUCAGAUGAUCCUGAUAGGUACAUACAUGCCCUACAGGGUCUAGGGCAAACUUUCGACCUCGCUUGGAGAGAUGUCAUGCUACUGUUAGAUCAAACCCUGGCCUUUAAUGAAAAGAAUGCAGCUUUAGCUGCAGCCUGAGAGUUUGGAGAUACCUGGAAUCUUAAUCAAGUAAAUGAUAGAAUGACACCUGAAGAAAGGGACAAAUUCCCUAUCGGUCAGCAAGCCAUCCCCAGUAUGGAUCCCCACUGGGACCUUGACUUAGAUCAUGGGGACUGGAGUCGUAAACAUCUGUUGACCUGUGUUCUAGAAGGACUAAGGAGAAUUAGAAAAAGCCCAUGAAUUAUUCAAUGAUGUCCACCAUAACUCAGGGAAAGGAAGAAAAUCCUUCUGCCUUCCUCGAGCAGCUAUAGGAGGCCUUAAGAAAAUAUACUCCCCGGUCACCCGAAUCACUCAAGGGUCAAUUGAUUCUAAAAGAUAAGUUUAUUAUCCAAUCAGCCGCAGAUAUCAGGAGAAAGCUCCAAAAGCAAGCCCUGGGCCCUGAACAAAAUUUGGAGGCAUUAUCAAAACCUGGCAACCUCAGUGUUCUAUAAUAGGGACCAAGAGGAACAGGCCCAAAAGGAAAAGUGAGAUUGGAGAAAGGCCGCAGCCUUAGUUAUGGCCCUCAGACUAACAAACCUUAGUGGUUCAGAGAGGACAGAUAGUAGAGGCCAAUCACCCGGUAGGGCUUGUUAUCAUGCGGUUUACUAGGACACUUUAAAAAAGAUUGUCCAAUGAGAAACAAGCUGCCCCCUCGUCCAUGUCCACUAUGCCGAGGCAAUCACUGGAAGGUGCACUGCCCCAGCGGACGAAGGUUCCCUAGGUCAGAAGCCCCCAACCAGAUGAUCCAACAACAGGACAGAGGGUGCCCGGGGCAAGCGCCAGCUCAUGUCAUCACCCUCACUGAGCCCCGGGUACGUUUAACCAUUGAGGGCCAGGAAACUGACUUCCUCCUGGACACUGGCGCGGCCUUCUCAGUGUUAAUCUCCUGUCCUGGACGACUGUCCUCAAGGUCUGUUACCAUCCGAUGAAUCCUGGGACAGCCUGUAACCAGGUAUUUCUCCCACCUCUCAGUUGUAAUUGGGAGACUUUGCUCUUUUCACAUGCCUUUCUUAUUAUGCCUGAAAGUUCCACACCCUUAUUAGGCAGGGACAUAUUAGCCAAGGCUGGAGCUAUUAUCUACAUCAAUAUGGGGAACAAGUUACCCAUUUGUUGUCCCCCUACUUGUGGAGGGAAUCAACCCUGAAGUCUGGGCAUUGGAAGGACAAUUUGGAAGGGCAAAAAAUGCCCGCCCAUUACAAAUCAGGUUAAAAGAUCCCACUGCUUUUCCUUAUCAAAGGCAAUAUCCCUUAAAGCCUGAAGCUCAUAAACGAUUACAGAAUAUUGUUAAACAUUUAAAAGCUCCAGGCUUAGUAAGGAAAUGCAGCAGUCCCUACAACACCCCAAUUCUAGGAGUACAAAAACUAAAUGGUCAGUGGAGACUAGUGCAAGAUCUUAGACUCAUCAAUGAGGCAGUAAUUUCUCUAUAUCCAGCUGUAACCAACACCUAUACCCUGCUCUCUCAAAUAACAGAGGCAGCAGAAUGGUUCACAGUUCUAGACCUCAAGGAUGCCUUCUUCUGUAUUCCCCUACACUCUGACUCCCAGUUUCUCUUUGCCUUUGAGGAUCCCACAGACCACACGUCCCAAAUUAUGUGGACGGUCUUGCCCCAAGGGUUUAGGGAUAGGCCUCAUCUGUUUGGUCAGGCACUGGCCCAAGAUCUAGGCCACUUCUCAAGUCCAGGCACUCUGGUCCUUCAAUAUAUGGAUGAUUUACUUUUGGCUCCCAGUUCAGAAGCCUCGAGCCAGCAGGCUACUCUAGAUCUCUUGAACUUUCUCGCUAAUCAAGGGUACAAGGUGUCUAGGUCAAAGGCCCAGCUUUGCCUACAGCAGGUCAAAUAUCUAGGCCUAAUCUUAGCCAGAGGGACCAGGGCCCUCAGCAAGGAUGGAGAGGGAGGACAGGGAGGAGAGGGAGAAGGAGGGGAAGGAGGGGAAGGAGGAAGGGAGGAGAGGGAGGGAGGGGAAGGAGGAAGGGAGGAGAGGGAGGGAGGGGAGGGAGAAAGGGGAGGGAAAGAAAGAAAGGGACCUGGGAAUAUGUUAAUGGACAAAACAGAAAGAAAUAGUUUACUGUCUGUCUUCCCCACUGAGUUGGGAACGCCAUGACAACAGGGCCUGGGACUGUCCUAGUCAAGACUGGGUUCCCAGCACCAGGCUCUGGGCCCUGUGCAGAAAUCAGUGUAUGAAAUAUUUUGCUUCUGGUUCAGUCCUAAAGGGCCAACCCUCCCACGGACAACUACAUACGCUGGCUGGACAAGAAACAAACAAUUAUCUGAAGGCACUGGGCAGAUUCUGGAGGGAGUGACCACUUAGGAGAGUGGCAGAACACUCUCUCGGUGUUUUUGAAAAUGGUUUUGAAAACUUUCAGCCUGAGGGCAGACUGAAAUUGUGCUUGAAGAGCCACAGGAUAGAGUCCAAGGUGACCAAAGCUGCCGGGAAGUGAGGGGGGAUAUUCCAAAGAGGGGAGAGCCAGAGCGAGGAGUCCCGAAUUCUGUGUAUCAACUCUGCCCUAAUCUCUUGCUGGGAGAUGUAUGUUUUUGUUGUUGUUUUUGUUUUGAGAUGGGUUCUUGCACUGUCACCCAGGCUGGGUGCAGUGGCACGACCACAGCUCACUGCAGUUUUGACCUCCCUGGUUCGAGCCAUCCUCCCACCUCAGCCUCCAGAGUAGCUGGGAGUGUGGUCAUUCAUCACACCCAGCUAAUUUUUGUUAGAGACAAGGUCUCAGUGUGUUGCCCUGGCUGAAGAUUAGUUUUUAAAUCUUUUGCUGGGGGUGCAUGUAUGGUCUGUAAAUCAGCAAGAAGCCAGGCACAGUGGUUCACGCUUGUAGUCCCAGCACAUUGGGAGGCCGAGUCAGGAGGAUCGCUUGAGUUCAAGAGUUGAAGACCAGACUGGGCAACAUAGCAAGACCUCAUCUCUACAAAAAAAUAAAAAUAAAAACAGAAAAACCAAAAAAACUAAUUCCAACUAAGCUACCAAAACACGAAACUCAACACUCUUUGGAACUAUAUGAUAGAAUCCAGAGUAUCCACAUCUUAUUCCUAUAUCCCAAUAUCCAAGAAACAAUCCAAACUAACUCAAAAUACAAAGAAACAGGAA
rnacentral:lncRNA from 1 species